GGGGCAAAAAGGGGGCCCAAAAUAAGCAAUUUUUGUAGUUUUCAAACAAUAACUUGUGUUUAAGUGUAUGAAUCUCUCUGAAAUUAUACCACAAGUUUCCAUACCAUUAAGGGAUGGUUAGUAAUGACUUUGGGGGUUAUGGCUUAAAAUGUUUUGGAAUUAGGGGCAAUAAAAGGGGGGAAACUAGUUUUUUUUCUGAUCAAUGGACAGUUAAGACAAUUUAAAAGCAGUGUAAGGGAGGUAAAUCAAUAACAGUUAACAUACAAUGUUUGGUAUGUUCGGAUUUACCUCCCUUACACUUCUUGUAAAUAAUGUAUAAAGAAAUGUCAGGUUUGGAGACUUAUUGUUAUAAAAAGGGGGGUGUUAGAAGUUUUCAUUUUUUUCCCAAAUUCUCUCAAAUUUCAAUAUUUUUGAAAAGUUUGAAGAAGAAAUUAUUGAGAUUGCACAAUAUUGCAUAAUAGAUUUGUAAGAUCUUGACAUUUGUUUUGUGUCAGAAACUCAUACUAUGUCAAGAAUUUGAUCACAAUCCAAAUUCAGAGCUUUAUGAAGCUUGAAUGUUGUGUCCAUACUUGCCCCAACUGUUCAGGGUUCAACCUCUGCGGUCGUAUAAAGCUGUGCCCUGCGGAGCACCUGAUUCUUGAAAUGUUUUUUGUAUGUGUUAUAUUAUAUGUAAACAUUUAAUUUGACGCUAUCAACGCAAUUAUGUGUCUGAAUUUUUCUCUUAAUUUUGAAACUAAUAUGUACUUUCAAGUACUCACACAAAAUGAUACAUUGAUGGCUCAUUUUACAAAAUAUAUAAGAAUUUUUUUCAAUGUCCAAGAAAACUUAUACUCUUGUAUAUAUUUUCUUCAAAUUAGCACAGCACUUUUGGGGCAUUUUCCACCAGCAAAGAAAAAAUAAAAUUGGUACAAUUGGUUUUUUUAGGUUUUUUGUGAAUGAAAUUAAUUGUUUUCAAUAUUAAAGCAGUGUGACAAUGUCAUGAUAACUAUCUCUCGGCAACAUCUCUGCAAUUGCAUGGUAAUGGUUGCUGUUAACAAAUUAGAUAUACAUAAAACAUUAACAAUGCUCAAUUUUAAGUAUUAUGUGAAAACUAUACGACUUGCUUAUAUUUUUUUGUUUGUCCAUCUUUUUUUUUCACAUCCAUACAAAGUAAGUCUAUAUUAGACUUGAGGUCCAGAGUUGUUAAAAAAUGGACUAUUUACUAAUGAAUUGGUGAUUGUUUGAGUUUUUAAUACAAUAAUGGUUUCGAUAUUUAUGCAAGUACCCGUACUUGCACUCUUUAUUUAAGUAUAAAAGCACAAAUGAACACACAUUAAUUUAAAGUACAAAGACAAUAAAAAAUAAAUGUUUUUAUGCCCCACCUACGAUAGUAGAGGGGCAUUAUGUUUUCUGGUAUGUGGCUCCGUUCGUUCGUUCGUUCGUUCGUUCGUUCGUCCGUCCGUCCGUCCGUCCGUUCGUUCGUCCCACUUCAGGUUAAAGUUUUUGGUCGAGGUAGUUUUUGAUGAAGUUGAAGUCCAAUCAACUUGAAACU
rnacentral:lncRNA from 1 species